UGUUCUUGAACUUCUGACCUCAGGUGAUCCUCCUGCCUCGGCUUCCCAAAGUGCUGGGAUUACAGGCGUGAGCCGCCACGCCCGGCCUUGAAUGUUCUUUCUAUGGGCAUCUACAAAAGCCAGCUUUGGAGUCUAGUGGCAGAAAACCUCUUCUUCAUUGUUUAGCUGUGCUGUGAGCUUGGAGGGCUUCAAGCCCAGCUGAAAAAGCUGUAGGAUUUUAUGUCAGUUGGCUGUCUUGGAGAACUUAAUGAGCACUGGGCGGGAGUGAUACUGUCAGAGUUCAAGAGCUGUUUGAGGCUCUCGAAGCCUAGAUACUGGGGUUGCCCGAAUACAUCGGCUGGACUCACUAUUUCUCCCGGGAGUAAAGGUGUGGAAAAUGCUGUGGUCUUAACUCUGCUCUUAAUUUUACAGUGCUGUUAUUAGUGGUAGGAAUGAUUUCAUACGUUUGUAUUUUGCUUCGUAAUUCACAGAGAAUUUUAAAAUCCAUUAUCUGAUUUUAUUCCCUCAGCAGUUCUGUGAAAAAGGCAAAGCAGUUUUCAUAUCUUCUGUUUUCCCGUGAUUCUCUUGUGGCUCACAGAAGCUAAGAGCCUUCACCAAGGUCAUAGGGUGAAUGAGUCGCAGAGCUGGGAGUAGAGGCUCAGGCUUCUAGGGACCCUGUUUCUUCCUCGAAUAGCUCGCUCUGGUGGCGCUAUGCUCAGGUAACUGCGCAUGCUCGGUUUGGUCUUCUGUAAAUCCCUGCCCCAUUUCAGGGGAGGUUCUUGGGAGGCUUCUAUUCAUUUUGGAGCAUUUAAGUAUGUUGUCCUCUCUCCCUCCUCCCAGAUGCAUGGGCAUUUCUACAGGCCCCUAGGCUGACCCUUGUGCGUGGGGGCGUCUCCUGCCUCCACGUUGUUUGCAUGCCCCUUCUGAAGGUGCUUUUCCCCGCAUGGAGCCCCCUCGUGCCUGCCUCCACACUGCAGGCUGUUCCGUAAAUAUUACUGACCCAGCAUCAUUGUUUUCUAGAAAUGGGACGGGCUAUGGAUGCCAAGUUCUUUUCUGUGUGAAGGCUGCGAUUGUAUCAUGUUGCCUUCCCCGUGUGUGCUCCUUGAGGGUGUCGCUGUGCUGCGGUCAUCUGUGUUCCCUAGGGUGCCUCCCUUGGAGUCCGGGCCGUAGCAGACAUGCAGUCAGUGCUCAUGGCCUACAUGACAGGAAGGCCAGCAGAGCCAUUAAAUCUGGGAAAUGACAAGUGAGGGAAAGGAAUUUUUAUUUAAGGCAUGUGAAAAAGAAAUCUUUUUAGAAAAGUUGACCUGUUUCUCAACUGGAGUUGAAUUUCAGCUCAGAAAAACAGCUGUGUGCCCAGAGGCUUUAGGAUUUCAGUUUGUGACAGAUGAAUUGAAUUUGUUGUUUUAUGAAUGUAUUAUCCUUUUGUGGUUUUAUUAGGCCUUUCUCCCAAGUGGAAUUGAUUUUUCUAUAAAAGUCACACUUCCUUUUUGAGAAGUGUAACACUAAUUUAUGGGAUGGCCUCCCAAAAGAUUACCUGCCAGGAACCAAACACACUGCCUCAGACUCACGGCCCCUGGUUUCUGCCUGUGCAGCUGCAGGGCAGAGAGGCACGCUCCAGCUGGAAUCAAGACGCAUGUCUGCAUCUUCAAGAGAAGAUUGCUUGAUUGCUGUUCCGUCUCUGAGCCGGCCUGCCUUCAACGUCUAGGAGCUUGGUGUGUGUAGACACAUUACGGCACAGAAGACGAUGUUACUCCCAAUAUCGCAGAAAGUGUACACCCCCCAGUGAUGUUGUUCCCAUGAUCCAGGAGGGAAGAGGAUGAUAUGACUUUCAAGUCCUGCACCCUGCAAUGCUCUCACCCUGCAACACCGACACCGAGCUCAACCUGACACAGGACCAGAGGCCAGCUGCGGGCUGUCCAGCGGCUGUGCUUCCUCUACAGCGAGGCCCAGUGUGUCCUCUACCACGAGCUCCAGCUCUCCCUGGCCCGCAAGGACCUACAGAUCCACUCUGGACUACAGCAAACAAAGUCUGGGGAUUCUCAUUCACCUCCAGAAGAAAGAGGAGGCGCAUGCCUGUCUGCAAGCAGAGAAGAUCUACUACAUCCUGCGGCAGAGCGAGCUGGUGGACCUGUACAUCCAGGUGAGUGGCAAGGGAAGCAGGAGGGCCUCUGUGCU